rnacentral:rRNA from 1 species
UACGUAGGGUGCGAGCGUUGACCGGAAUUAUUGGGCGUAAAGAGCUCGUAGGCGGUCUGUCACGUCGGAUGUGAAAGCCCGGGGCUUAACCCCGGGUCUGCAUUCGAUACGGGCAGACUAGAGUGUGGUAGGAGAGAUCGGAAUUCCUGGUGUAGCGGUGAAAUGCGCGGAUAUCUUGAGGAACACCGGUGGCGAAGGCGGGUCUCUGGGCCGAUACUGACGCUGAGGAGCGAAAGCGUGGGGAGCGAACAGG